UACAGGGGGGGCAAGCGUUGUUCGGAAUUACUGGGCGUAAAGGGCUCGUAGGCGGCCAACUAAGUCCGACGUGAAAUCCCAAAGCUUAACUUUGGAACUGCGUCGGAUACUGGAUGGCUUGAAUUCGGGAGAGGGAUGCAGAAUUCCAGGUGUAGCGGUGAAAUGCGUAGAUAUCUGGAGGAAAACCGGUGGCGAAGGCGGCAUCCUGGACCGGCAAUGGCGCUGAGGAACGGAAGCGUGGGGAGCGAACAGG
rnacentral:rRNA from 1 species